UAAUUUUACUGCAACGUCAUUUUUCAUCGGCAAUACUGUCUGGACAGAUCCUUUACCGAAAGUCGGUGUGCCCAUAAUAACUGCACGACGAUGGUCUUGUAAUGCACCCGCUACAAUUUCUGAAGCUGAAGCUGAACCUCCAUUUACUAACACAACGAGUGGUGCUUUAGGAAAUGAGGCUGUUGGUUUUGCAUUAAAGCGUAUUUCUGAAUUUUCUAAUCGGCCUUGUGUAUAAACGAUCAAACCUUCUGUUAAGAAACUAUCAGAAACAGCGACCGCAGCACCUAACAAACCACCAGGAUUGUUACGCA
rnacentral:ncRNA from 1 species